AAUAUUGGACAAUGGGGGCAACCCUGAUCCAGCCAUGCCGCGUUUGUGAAGAAGGUCUUCGGAUUGUAAAGCACUUUACGUUGGGAGGAAGGGCCUCAGGUUAAUACCCUGAAGUUUUGACUUUACCACCAGAUUAAGCACCGACUAACUCUGUUCCAGCAGCCGCGGUAAUACAGAGGGUGCAAGCGUUAAUCGGAAUUACUGGGCGUAAAGCGCGCGUAGGUGGUUCAGUAAGAUGGGUGUGAAAUCCCCGGGCUUAACCUGGGAACUGCUUUCAUAACUGCUGAGCUAGAGUACGGUAGAGGGUAGUGGAAUUUCCUGUGUAGCGGUGAAAUGCGUAGAUAUAGGAAGGAACACCAGUGGCGAAGGCGACUACCUGGACUGAUACUGACGCUGAGGCGCGAAAGCGUGGGGAGCAAACAG
rnacentral:rRNA from 1 species